GUUUUAUUUCCUCUUAUUUUCUUUAGUCACCAUUUAAACACUAAAUCUAAAAGCUUAUAUUGUUAUAUAAUACCACAUGUACAUCAUUUAAAUAGUCUUCAACACACUCUAUCAUUUAAAUAGGUUGAAGGGUCAUUACUUGCACAUGAAAAACAUAAGAUUGGAUUCUAUUAUUCUUCUAAGGAUAGUUGCACACUUUUCAUCAUAAAUAAAGCAAGAGAUGUACCCGUCUACAUAAUUUAGUUAAACGUUUGAUAUUUUUAUCUAAUGUUAAGAUAUGGCCUAUGUUCUAAAGUUCUGUUGCUACACAGGAUCUUAAAGUGACACAAUCAUCUAGAUCCAGUAGUUAAAAAAGACACAUGGACUGAAGAUGAAUUAUUAGUCCUAGCUUCUUAUCAUCAAUUAUAUCGGAAUAAAUGGGCAGAACAGCAAGUUUGCUGUGUAUAAUUUCUAAUAGCUUUGAUCGUACUUGAUUUUAAUGUAACAUUCUGGAUUUAUCGUCUUCUUCCAAUAUGCUCUUUGCUGGAAGUUCACCAUCAUGGUCAAGAUUUUUCUAGAUUGCAAUAUAUCCUCUCUCUUUUUUUUUCUCUAUUAUCUUUCUUAGCUUUGAUAACCUUGUGCAAAUAUAUGUAUGAGAAAAAAAAAGGUUUGCCCAGCUCUCUCUCAUAUUUACAAUCUUACUUAUAAGUGACCCCAAACAUGCUCUAAUUCAGUCUCUAUAUCGUGAUGAUGGGAAAUCAGUAUAUGUUAGUCAUAUUUUGUGUUUUUAUCAAGCUCUAGGAUCACUUCAAUGUAUAGAGUAAAGCUAAUGUUAGAAGGUUCCCUUUUUUAAUCUUAUCGAAAAGUCAUUUGGGAGACUUUUGUAUCCAUGUGAAAUUUUGUUAUUGUUUGGCGAACUUGACUAUUCCAAUUGCAGAAUUCGGAAAAGAAAAAAUCUGGUAUUUAUCAUGUUAAAUAACUGAAAUUACCGCAUUAGCAUACUACUAUCAAUUACAUCAAUGGCCCAAUGGUAGUUACAUAAUCAUUUCAUUUCAUCUACUUCUUUUUCAUAUUUUCUUGCUCUGAGAAAUCACUUUCACCAACUAUUUUGCACCUAAUUCAUCUCACAUGUUAGCAAAAUUCAAAGCAUAUAUUGUGAAGGAUGGGAAAGGGCUUUGCCACAAGCGUUAUUCCAGUUACUUUAGGUUUGACACAUCUUUUACUAAAAAUGAUCAAUGAGAAGUUUGAGAUAUAUAUCUUUUUUGAUAUUUUGAACACAAUAUAAUAGUGUGACGAUAUCUUGUUUACAUGGUCUGAAGGGUCGCAGUGAAUUUCUUUUCUAUAUAAUAAUUCUCUCAAUAGACUUAGUGGUGGAUUGAAUGAACCAAAUCCACAUCUAUUAAAAUACAAAUUAGUUGCAUUCCAUUUCAUAUAUGUUAUGACAUGUGUGAGCCACUAAGGGAUGGUGCUUUAAUGUCAUCUUUCCAUUCUUUAAUUCUUUUUUGUGAAACUGUAAUUCUUGGAGCUUAACUUGUGUCUAAAUUACUUUCAUUUGUUUAUGCUUUCUUCAAUUGCUAGAUGAGAGGGAAAGUAUAAAUGCAUUGCAGUUUCUAUAAAUAUUAGAUAGGUAAAGGAAGAAAUCUUACCUUUACUUAGAAUUUCGUUUGUUGUUAAAAAUUCAAUUUUGAAUCUUCGUUUUGCCAAGGAGCGGAAGACCUGACAUCGAUGAAGAGUUUGUAGUGCAGCCAUAAUGGAAGAGUGAGUCGAAAUUCAUUUGCGAAGUUUUGUUUUUUCAAUACAGAUGUUUGUAAGUUCUCUCUAUAUAUGGCUGGAACUUUUAGAUGAACCUCACAUAGAUUGUGCUGGACCAUUAAAUGAUCAAGCAUUUAGUUGUUUGGUUCAUUCACUUCCAGAGAAUUGGAUUCGUCCAUUUGUUAACAUUUAAUUUGUUUCAUUCUUCAGUGGCAUUUGUCCAAUUCCUAAGAAUUGGGAGUUGAUAGCUUUUUUUUGGAUUAUGGUACAAAAUACAGGAGGAUACUUUAUUUUUGGAUGUGUUUUUUGCCAACUAGAAAGAAGUAUUUGGAUAUGUUUUACAUUUUCUAGUGGGUUAGGUAGGUGUUUUACUUAUAUAUCCUCUCUUAAUCCUUUGUUCUAAUAACUGAUUUGAUUUAAUGCAAUUGUUCCAAUAUUUAUUGUAUAUUCAAAUCCCGAUGUAUAUAAACAACCAAGAGAAGAAGCAGAAAUGACAGUGCAAGAAUUAUCCAUUCCAUCUCAGCGUACUUGCUCAUUGGUGUGUGUGUGUG
rnacentral:lncRNA from 1 species